rnacentral:rRNA from 1 species
GGGUCAGUAGGUUGGUCGUGCCACCGGUACGUACUGGUCUCACUGAUUCCUCCUUCCUGAAGAACCGUAAUGCCAUUAAUUUGGUGUUGCGGGGAAACAGGAUUGUUACUUUGAAAAAAUUAGAGUGUUUAAAGCAAGCUAACGCUUGAAUACAUUAGCAUGGAAUAGUGAAAUAGGACGAUCGAUCCUAUUUUGUUGGUUUCUAGGAUUGACGUA